UGUAUAUCUAUUUUGCCAAAGGCUGUAUAUGGCCCCACCGCCCACAGUAAAUUAAAAAAAGAAUUUAGUUUGUAAGAUUGGAUGCGUUUCAUGAGCAUUGCCCUGCGUUUCAACCACAGCAGCCUCUGCUGUGUUUUUUAACACAGCAGAGGAUCCAUGGCCAAUAGACUCUCAAUAGCGGCAGAAUUCCGAUCGAUUCAAUGGCGGCGCCUAAGAGCUACUUCCCGCGAGCAAACUACAGAUUUCUCCCCACCUUUCGGGAAACAACUAACAACUCCAUGAUCUUCGAGCUCGACGAAUCGGAGGUUUGGAACUCCCACGGCCACUUGCAGUCGCCAGAAUUUCGCAAGCAGAGUUCCAAAUUAUCCAGGAAGGCGAGGCGAUCGGCGACCGGGUCUGCUUCCUGAAGGAUGAGUACAGAGGCAACCGCCGGAGAGACAGCGAUGAAGAAGAAUUUGACGUGGCGGCGGAGAACGGCGAUCGUGUUCCGCCGCACGAGUUUGUGGCGAGGAGUAGAAUCGCCUCCUCCGUGCAGGAAGGGCUCAAGGGCAGAGACCUCAACAGGGUUAGAAACGCGAUUUAGCUUAAAGUCGGGUUUCAGGAUUAAUUCAUUUCAAAUUAUUUUUCAUCCACCCCAUUAGUUAGCAGCGAUUUUUUCUGCUGCUCUCUAAUCAGUUUCCCUUUUUUUUUGUAGUAUCGUUUUCGUUUUUCUUCUUUUAAAUUGAGGGAAUGCUUUUCUAUA